GCGAACGUUAGCGGCGGGCCUAACACAUGCAAGUCGAGCGAGAAAGUGGCUUCGGCCAUCAGUAAAGCGGCGGACGGGUGAGUAACACGUAGGUAAUCUUCCCUUGAGCGGGGGGACAACGUUUCGAAAGGAACGCUAAUACCGCAUACGUUUCCAGGGACUCUGGUUCUUGGAAGGAAAGCUAGGUCGCAAGAUCCGGCACUCGAGGAGGAGCCUGCGUCGCAUCAGCUAGUUGGUGGGGUAAUGGCCUACCAAGGCGAAGACGCGUAGCUGGUCUGAGAGGAUGAUCAGCCACACUGGGACUGAGACACGGCCCAGACUCCUACGGGAGGCAGCAGUGGGGAAUAUUGGACAAUGGGCGCAAGCCUGAUCCAGCCACGCCGCGUGAGUGAUGAAGGCCUUCGGGUCGUAAAGCUCUGUGGGGAGGACGAACCGCCGAUGGCUAAUACCCAGCGGCA
rnacentral:rRNA from 1 species